UUAAGCUAUAAAGAGCGCAGGGUGGAUGCCUUGGCACUAAGAGCCGAUGAAAGACGUGAUAAGCUGCGAAAAGCUUCGGGGAGGAGCAAAUAUCCUUUGAUCCGGAGAUAUCUGAAUGGGGAAACCCGGCUGAGCAAACCUCAGUCACUGCAUGGUGAAUCCAUAGCCAUGCAGAGGGAACCCGGUGAACUGAAACAUCUAAGUAGCCGGAGGAAGAGAAAGAAACAUCGAUUCCCAAAGUAGCGGCGAGCGAAAUGGGAAGAGCCCAAACCAGCGUGCGUGCAUGCUGGGGUUAAGGACUGCAAACGUGAACCGAUUUGUUAGUGGAACUGUCUGGGAAGUCAGGCCAUAGAGGGUGAAAGCCCCGUACACGAAAACAAUAGGAAGCAGCAGGAUCCAGAGUACCACGAGACACGAGAAACCUUGUGGGAAGUCGGAGGGACCACCCUCCAAGGCUAAAUACUCCUUAGUGACCGAUAGCGCAUAGUACUGUGAAGGAAAGGUGAAAAGGACCCCGGGAGGGGAGUGAAAAAGAACCUGAAACCCUGUGUUUACAAGCUGUGGAAGCACGUUAAGGUGCGACCGCGUACUUUUUGUAGAACGGUCCGGCGAGUUGCCGGUACUGGCAAGGUUAAGAGCUGAAGGCUCGGAGCCGAAGGGAAACCAAGUCUCAAAUGGGCGUCAAGUCAGUACAGGCAGACCCGAAACCGGGUGACCUAUCCAUGUCCAGGUUGAAGCGGAAGUAAAAUUCCGUGGAGGACCGGAUCCACAUCCGUUGAAAAGGGUGGGAAUGAGGUGUGGAUAGGGGAGAAAUUCCAAUCGAACCCGGAGAUAGCUGGUUCUCCUCGAAAUAGCUUUAGGGCUAGCCUCAUAUUAGUUUAGCGGAGGUAGAGCACUGAAUUCCUAAGGGGGCGUCAAAGCUUACCAAGGGAUAUCAAACUCCGAAUGCCGCAUAAAUGAUGUAUGGGAGUCAGACUGCACGAGAUAAGUUGGGUAGUCAAAAGGGAAAGAGCCCAGACCUACAGCUAAGGUCCCAAAGUGUGUGUUAAGUGGAAAAGGAUGUGGGAUUUCAAAGACAACUAGGAUGUUGGCUCAGAAGCAGCCACACAUUCAAAGAGUGCGUAAUAGCUCACUAGUCGAGAGGUCCUGCGCCGAAAAUGUCCGGGGCUGAAACACAACACCGAAGCUUAGGAAUGUAUGUAAGUACAUUGGUAGAGGAGCAUUCUCAGGACGGAGAAGCGGUACCGAUAAGGAGCCGUGGAGUGCUGAGAAGAGAGAAUGCCGGAAUGAGUAGCGAGAUGGAGGUGGGAAUCCUCCAGGCCGAAUAUCCAAGGUUUCCAGAGUAAAGCUGAUCUGCUCUGGGUAAGUCGGGGCCUAAGGCGAGGCUGAGAGGCGUAGUCGAUGGACAACAGGUUGAAAUUCCUGUACCAUGUAUCAUCAGAACUGUGGGGACACAGAAGGACAACACAUCCCGGGAAUGGGAAUACCGGGGCAAGCGAGGUAGGAGUACGGUUGGCAAAUCCGCCGUGCAAUCCGAAGACGUGACGCGCAGCGAACUAAAGUAGCGAAGUGUGUGAUUCCGGCUGUCAAGAAAAGCCGCUAUUGUGUGAUACAUGCCCGUACCGUAAACCGACACAGGUAGAUGAGGAGAGAAUCCUAAGGCCGGCGGGAGAAGCAUUGUUAAGGAACUCGGCAAAAUGACCCCGUAACUUCGGGAGAAGGGGUGCCACAGAGAUGUGGCCGCAGAGAAUAGGCUCAAGCAACUGUUUAGCAAAAACACAGGUCUAUGCAAAACCGUAAGGUGAGGUAUAUGGGCUGACGCCUGCCCGGUGCUGGAAGGUUAAGAGGAGAGGUUAGAGCAAUCGAAGCUUUGAAUUUAAGCCCCAGUAAACGGCGGCCGUAACUAUAACGGUCCUAAGGUAGCGAAAUUCCUUGUCGGGUAAGUUCCGACCC
rnacentral:rRNA from 1 species